CUUUACUGUAACCUGGAAUUGGGUUCGGGCUUUGCUUGCGCAGGAUAGGUGGGAGGCUUUGAUCCAUUGCUUGUGGGUGAUGGUGAGCCAACGGUGAGAUACCACUCUUUCAGAGCUAGGGUUCUAACGGUCACCCGUCAUCCGGGGACCGGACAGUAUCAGGUGGGCAGUUUGACUGGGGCGGUCGCCUCCUAAAUGGUAACGGAGGCGCGCAAAGGUUCUCUCAGGCUGGUUGGAAAUCAGCCAACGAGUGUAAAGGCAGAAGAGAGCUUGACUGCAAGACAAACAAGUCGAGCAGGGACGAAAGUCGGCCUUAGUGAUCCGACGGUUCCGAGUGGAAGGGCCGUCGCUCAACGGAUAAAAGUUA
rnacentral:rRNA from 1 species